rnacentral:tRNA from 1 species
GAGAUGGCUCAGUGGGUAAAGUGCUUGCCUUGCAAGCAAGAGGACGUGGGUUCAACCCCUAGAACUCA